rnacentral:rRNA from 1 species
CUAGCGGCGGACGGGUGAGUAAUGCUUAGGAAUCUGCCUAUUAGUGGGGGACAACAUUCCGAAAGGAAUGCUAAUACCGCAUACGCCCUACGGGGGAAAGCAGGGGAUCUUCGGACCUUGCGCUAAUAGAUGAGCCUAAGUCAGAUUAGCUAGUUGGUGGGGUAAAGGCCUACCAAGGCGACGAUCUGUAGCGGGUCUGAGAGGAUGAUCCGCCACACUGGGACUGAGACACGGCCCAGACUCCUACGGGAGGCAGCAGUGGGGAAUAUUGGACAAUGGGCGAAAGCCUGAUCCAGCCAUGCCGCGUGUGUGAAGAAGGCCUUUUGGUUGUAAAGCACUUUAAGCGAGGAGGAGGCUACUUGGAUUAAUACUCUAGGAUAGUGGACGUUACUCGCAGAAUAAGCACCGGCUAACUCUGUGCCAGCAGCCGCGGUAAUACAGAGGGUGCGAGCGUUAAUCGGAUUUACUGGGCGUAAAGCGUGCGUAGGCGGCUUCUUAAGUCGGAUGUGAAAUCCCUGAGCUUAACUUAGGAAUUGCAUUCGAUACUGGGAAGCUAGAGUAUGGGAGAGGAUGGUAGAAUUCCAGGUGUAGCGGUGAAAUGCGUAGAGAUCUGGAGGAAUACCGAUGGCGAAGGCAGCCAUCUGGCCUAAUACUGACGCUGAGGUACGAAAGCAUGGGGAGCAAACAGGAUUAGAUACCCUGGUAGUCCAUGCCGUAAACGAUGUCUACUAGCCGUUGGGGCCUUUGAGGCUUUAGUGGCGCAGCUAACGCGAUAAGUAGACCGCCUGGGGAGUACGGUCGCAAGACUAAAACUCAAAUGAAUUGACGGGGGCCCGCACAA